AGGUCAAGCUGAUAACAGCACACAUAGAAUAUCGCUUGUAUACUUAUCUUCGCUCCUACACACCGUUCCGUUUCUCAAAACUUUAUAAUACGCUUCAUUUCGUAUACAGUUAUUUCGAAAUAAAUGGAUACUACUACGACUGUUCUCGUAGUCAGACUAUUAUUAGCUAGAUGAGUUAUAUAGUACCUAGCUUUUAUGAUUGUUUGUCUACUAUUAUUUUUAUCGUAAACAUAGAUUACUAUAAGAGCGCUGCUUCGUGUGCAUGUGCGUGCGCCGCCAUCUUUAGUGUACUUAUACUAUUUCCUUGUUACUUUCAUGCCUAGUAUAGCAAUGCUACUACGGUACAACUAUGGUGUAGUCGUGCUAUUAUAGCAUAAUCGGGGCCUGAAUUUAUCUAUUUGGUUGACAAAAUUAAUUCAAAGGUAUGUCAUAACUUGCGCCAAUUAUGGCAGAAACGAGAAACGGAAAUACGAGACACGGUUUUGUAAAUCGGUUCCUCGGUGAAUGGAUUAACGCGAUCGUGUGCUGUCAACUUCCGCUCCCACGGACACUGUUCGACCAACAUCUAGAAUCGUUCGCUAAAGUGCUUAAUUGCUCCUAGCAAGGAAAAGGAUCUUCUAUUUUUAAAAAGACUUCAUUUUUCACGUUCCUCGCGACAGAAUUGAGACGCAUCGAUUACUUCGACGAGUGUUUGCACGAUUAGCAAAAAGAAAAACAAGGUGAAAAUAUAGUCGUUUGAAAAAUAGCGAAAAACCUCGAUAGUGUUAAAAAAUGAAGCAUUGAAAGAAAACCAUUUAUUUGGAAUGUCUGACAAGUGGAGACUACGCGUUAAAAAGAAAGUAAAGAAUAAUAUUAAUCCCCGUAUCGACGGUCUACGGGGGGCGUGAAAGUCGUGGAACGAGGGUUAAUCGAAUAGAAAACUGGCAAACCGAGCUGCCUGAUGGAAGUCAUCGUAGAUAAGCUGUUAUCGGCAGGCAUGCGUGCAUACGUACGCCGGCACUUAAUUUCGUGUCGGACUGUUUGCUUUAUCGCAAUCGUGUACCUGCAGCGUUCAUUGCUCACGUACGUUUUUACGCGUCCGAUAAAUACGCCCCCCCCCCUUCUUGUGGAAAAAAAAAUGGGCCACCGUACGUAACGCGUGUCGUAAACGUCUGGAAAUAUCUCCAAAGGUUGCCUACGCGAAUAUAAAGCACUCGGUAUUUAACGAUUUACGAGUGGGACGAAUACUUGUUCGCGGACCAAUACGACUGGACACCGAACCGAGACGACUGGAGGGUUCCCGCUGAAUUUUCAUCUUUCUCGACUAUUUGCGCGACGACACAUGGUUUCUGUUACUCCCACGUGGCCUAAACGACGCCAGGCAAGUGGAUCUAAGGUUGGAUUCGCGAUUGGAGCGAAUUUGUUUCGCGGAUCGAUACAACUGAAGGGCAAUAGGUCGUAAAUCAAUGGUCUGGAAUGACUGGAAACGUUGGACGUAGUAUCGUAGAACGAUUUGCAGUGGAAAUUUGUCCCUGACAGGAACUAUUAUCUAUCGCGGCGCAGUGGCUCCGUUCGAUGUUAGGACAGUCUAGAAAUAUCGUUCGUUGAAUUCCUUGAUACUGUAGUCACUAGCGGAUUCGGCGUAUGAUGUAACUUAGGUCUUUUCCAGCGGGAGACUGCUUUCAGUACGUUAGAGAAGAGUUCGCUGUAUAAUUAGAAAAGAAUCGAAAGCGAAAAAUGUUGAACUGAAUUUUAACGACGCCGAAAAGUAUUCUAGGAAAAUAUAAUAAUACAUACAUGGAGCUCGCGUGUUCCUUUGUAUACGUCUCGUUGAGAAAAUUAACGUUGCACGGUUAGUUUUACCAUGGCAAUUUCGCGUCAAGUGAAAAGCGAGAAAGUUGAAUUUAUCAUUCCGCAGGCCAACAUUUCGUUUCACUCCGUAAACGUCUACAAGGUUUUUUACCUUCUGCUUUAAUUUCACGUUCCACUGCGUGAAUCUUUAUCUGAAUAAAAAUUACACGUGUCGAACAAGAGAUUGAAAAUCGUUAUCUGUUACGUGGCCGAAUAAAUAUAACCCGAGUUAUUUAGAACUCCAAGAAAAACCAGAUUUUUAUAUUGUCUUUAGUCGAGGAAUGAAUUUACUUGGAACGAAUGUUGUUACGUGUUCAUCGCAUAAAGAUAAUUGUGAAUAUUAUAUAAUACGCGAGGAGCUGCGAAAACUGGAACAACCCCUCGUAACUCGUUCAAUGCAAGAUGGCCUAUGAGCAAUGUUGGAUUGCUUUAUCUGCUUCCUCCGAUAGUGCUCGCACAGUGGCUGAUAAAAGUCAAUGACAGAGAAAAUGCCUCCAUCGAAAACGAGCCACACGAUUUAAGCAACGCCCACGCAAUUUUAAAAAAAAAUUACUCUCCAACCCAAAAUGACGGAGUACCGAGUGAAAGUUAAAGUCGGGGAGAUUACAGAGCGAUUCCAUGACUCCCCAGUUGCCCAUCUGCCAUCUUGUCUCACACGAAUUGUACAAGUUUAAAACGUGGUGAAAUAAUACGAAAAUAAUGGAGCACCGAGUGAAAGUAAAAGUCGAGAGGAUUACAGAGCGAUCCCGUGGCUCCCCAGUUGUCCAUCCGCCAUCUUAUCUCCCAGGCAUAGUACAAGUCCAAAACACAAUAUACAUUGCGAUAUUUCCCACUCAAAUUAAAAGAAAAAUACUAUUCUACCUACAUUUUAUUCAUUGAUAUUUCAUGAGGUGAAAUAAUACGAAAUAAUGGAGUACGAGUGCAAACGUUGGAGGGAUUACAGAGCGAUCCCGUGGCUCCCCAGUUGUCCAUCCGCCAUUUUGUCUCCCAGGCAUAGUACAAGUCCAACACACAAUAUACAUCGCGAUAUUUCCCACUCAAAUUAAAAGAAAAAGUACGAGUGGAAACUUUGGAGGAAUUACAGAGCGAUCCCGUGGCUCCCCAUUUGCCUAUCCGCCAUCUUGUCUCCCAGGCAUAGUACAAGUCAAAAACACAAUAUACAUCGCAAAAUUGGUGUCGAAUCGUAGUACAAGCUAGCAAUUUUUAAUGGUUGCAACAGUUAUCUGCAGAUAGCUCACCACGUCCUCGAGGAAGCCUUCGUGGUUGGCUAUCGCGUCUUUAAUGGCAACAGUUUCGCGCUGAAAGAACCAUUUUCACGGUUAGUUUCAUAAAUACGAGUCUGUGCCGUGGACAAAGUCCGCGUAGACAAUGUAGCAAUUGUUUCUAUCAUCUUCGCAGACGAAUCGACGUUUUCGCAUCGAAUUCUCGGAGCCGUCCACGGAUCUAAGGAACGCACGUUUCGGUGUUCCGUGCGAUCCUGGAAUAAAUGGCGAACGCGUCGAGAAUCCAAAACGCGUUGUUCGACUUUCGAGGAAAGGUGCGCGACAUCUAGAUGCCGGGAGGUAGCGAACGUUAGAGGUCACGGUACGGUGAACUCCUUGGCGAGCAACCUUCAUCCUUUCCAAUUUGUUGCCGCGGAUUGUACUGAUGCGUGGCAGCGGCCACGGAAGCGAGACGAGCGUGAAAAAGGAGCGCGGGGCAACGACAACAACAACAGUGGCGGCUGAAUGGACGCGGCCGCUCAGAACGUAAAUCUUAUAUUUAUUAUUGCGGAAGCACGUUUUCGAGCAUACUGGUCGAUGGACUGUGGAUGUGUGUAACGGAGCCAUGGGAAAUUUUACGAGAACGUGCAUAAAUGCAGGAAUACGUAAAAUAUCAACGAUAGUGCACGUGUUAGAGAAGAUGAAACAUAUUUUUAUUUAUGUCUGAAUGAUCCGCAGUGAUCAAUUUAGUUCUGAAUAUUUGUACGUGGAAGUCGAGAUUAAUGCGGGACAGGAGUUUGAAAACAUUUUUAAUGGAAAUGAAGUUGAUAUGUUUCGGUUGAGAUGGAAUUCUUGGUACAGUGAAUCUCAUUCUUUUGUCCCUGCCUUUUUAUUUCUCUUGCGGGUAUGUAGUGAAUAUAUUAGUAAAUAAACGUAGAGGGUUAUGAAUUAUCCUAUAAUCACUUUCUUAGGAAAUAAAGAUUAGCAUUAUCUAUUAUACGUCCAGAUGUUAAUACGGCCAAUUUUUUUGUUGAAUAAAAUUAUCCUAGUAAAUCGUU